GAUGAACGCUGGCGGCGUGCCUAAUACAUGCAAGUCGAGCGAACGGAUGAGAAGCUUGUUUCUCUGAUGUUAGCGGCGGACGGGUGAGUAACAUGUGGAUAACCUACCUAUAAGACGGGGAUAACUUCGGGAAACCGGAGCUAAUACCGGAUAAUAUUUUGAACCGCAUGGUUCAAAAGAGAAAGACGGUCUUGCUGUCACUAAUAGAUGGAUCCGCGCUGCAUUAGCUAGUUGGUAGGGUAACGGCUUACCAAGGCAACGUUGAAUAGCCGACCUGAGAGGUUGUUCGCCCACACUGGAACGGGACCAGGGCCAGACCUCCUACGGGAGGCACCGUAAGGAAUUCUUCGGCAAUGGGGGAAAUCCUGACGAACAAACGCCGCGGAGGUGAUGAGGGUCUCCGGAUCGUAAACCCCUUUUUAUGGGAAGAAACAGAUGUGUAAUGGACAGUGCACAUCUUGACGGUACCUAAUCAGAAAGCCACGGCUAACUACGUG
rnacentral:rRNA from 1 species